AGAUUGAACGCUGGCGGCGUGCUUAACACAUGCAAGUCGAGCGGUAACGCGGGAGCAAUCCUGGCGACGAGCGGCGAACGGGUGAGUAAUGCUUGGGAAUCUGCCCAUUAGUGGGGAACAACCAGCCGAAAGGUUGGCUAAUACCGCAUACGCCCUACGGGGGAAAGCGGGGGAUCGUAAGACCUCGCGCUAAUGGAUGAGCCCAAGUCGGAUUAGCUUGUUGGUAGGGUAACGGCCUACCAAGGCGACAAUCCGUAGCUGGUCUGAGAGGACGACCCAGCCACACUGGGACUGAGACACGGCCCAGACUCCUACGGGAGGCAGCAGUGGGGAAUAUUGGACAAUGGGGGAAACCCUGAUCCAGCGACGCCGCGUGUGUGAAGAAGGCCUGCGGGUUGUAAAGCACUUUUAGUGGGGAUGAAAAGCCUAGGGUUAACACCUCUGGGUCUUGACCUAACCCACAGAAAAAGCACCGGCUAACUCUGUGCCAGCAGCCGC
rnacentral:rRNA from 1 species